rnacentral:lncRNA from 1 species
CUUAGUCUUAAGCACAAUGAAGUACAGAAUUCUGUUGUGAUUAAUCUGAAUAAUAAUUUUAAUCAAUUGGAACUACUAAAUUUGACAUAUCAUGCAUUUUUUUCUGACUGCAGGGAAGACGGACCCAUGCCUAAAGAAGUGAAUGUGGUUGAUAGUGAUAUACUGAUUAAAGGUCCUGUGGGUUUCAACAUUUCGGGUCAGUAUCGGUGCCAGGCCUCCUACCACAGACACUCUGCCGUCCUGCAGCUCCAGAUCGAAGUAAAUCCCAGAGUGGAGAUACCAGUGACUUUCCCCCCAAACAUAAGUGCUCAGCUCUGGAAAGAAGGAGCUAACACCUAUGUGGAAUGCUUGGCGUCCGAUGCCGCUCCCGCUGCCAAUGUCUCAUGGGAUCUUCCACAAGACCUGAAUGUGGAGAUACAGUCCGAUGUUUCGUCAUGCAACGGGACACACACUGUCCGCAGUGUCCUCACCCUGCCUGCCUGCUUCUUCCAGGAGACCACAGUCGAGUGUGUGGUUGAGCAUUUAGACCUCCUGCAGCAGGAGAGGAGACCAGUCCAUCUUCCCAUCUGUGUUCCUGUAAACGUGACGCUGCAGAGCAUGGUGGUGUGGGUGAACGGCAUGGCGUAUACCCAGGUCAACUGCAGUGCGGACAGCGUGCCCCCGGACUCCACUGUAUUCUGGAAUACAGAAAACUGCAGGAUGGGCAUCAACAUGUCUGAACCCAGUGAGGUUCUGAUCCAGUCUGGGACUCUGCAGGGUGAUGGUGGUGGGGUCUGGAGCUCAGCUCGUCUCCCAGUUCACUCCUAUGCUGGGUGCACUGUGGUCUGUGUGCUGGAGCAUCACCGACCUGAGCGGAACAGUGUCCAACUUCCAUCAGGAGUUUGUUGCGCGGGAACAGUGGGCAUGUGUACAGAGUGGCGCUGCAGGAGGCCAUCCCACAGCAGAUCAUCAGUUUCAGAGUGAUGGGAAACACACCAGCCUUCAGUAUCAGAUGUUUCAG